rnacentral:lncRNA from 1 species
CUAAGUAAAGACAUACAUUCAUUUAUUCAUUUCUCAGAUGUUGUCUAAUGCCUUCUGUGUGCCAGGUGCUGUUCUAGGCACUUGAAGAUACAAAGAGGAGCAAAACAGACAAAAACUCCUGCCCUCUUGGACCUCACUUGGUAAAGGGGAGACAGAGAGGAAACAGAAGAGACUGAAAAAUAUACAUCGUACAGUGGUGUCAGACGUUGGUAAGUGAAAGGAAGAAACAUCGAUUAGAAUAACUCCUCACCUUAGUGAGGAGGAUGCUAAGUUAGAUAAGAUUAUGAUGUGAUGUUUCUCUGAUCAGAUGACAAUUUAGUGGAGACCUCAACGAAGCAAGGGAACGAGACCUAUGGAUAUGUUGGGCGGUGUUUUUCAGGCAGGGAGCAGCUAGUGACAGAUCCUUGAGAAUGGAACACACCUGGAAGUUUCGAGCAAUGGCAAGUGCGCUGGCUAGAGCACCAAGACUGACCCGUCGAGUGGGUGAGGCAGUGAGGCCACAGGAUCUUACCAGAGGCGCUCAACAGUUUGGGCAAGGUCCGAUUCCUAUCGGGUUCUCUUUGUAAACACAAAUGGCAUAAAGUGAGGAAAUCUAUGAGGAACUAUGGAGAUAUGGGAAAGAUGCACAUGGAAACGCCCAUAUGGAGAGAAACUGAGGUCUGAGCUUCAGCUCCUGUGGAACGCCAAGAGCCAGCACAUGCUGCCAGGCAUGUGACGGAACCAUUUGGGAAGUGAAUCCUCUACUUCUGAUUCCAGUGGCCCUAAGCUGACACUGAGUGGGCCAGAAGUGAGCCUUCCUCCCCGAGCCCUGUCCAAAUUCCAGAUUCAGGCUAAUAAAAGAUUGUUGUUAUUUUAAGCCA